UAGGGAAUCUUCCACAAUGGACGCAAGUCUGAUGGAGCAACGCCGCGUGAGUGAAGAAGGUUUUCGGAUCGUAAAGCUCUGUUGUUGGUGAAGAAGGAUAGAGGUAGUAACUGGCCUUUAUUUGACGGUAAUCAACCAGAAAGUCACGGCUAACUACGUGCCAGCAGCCGCUGUAAUACGUAGGUGGCAAGCGUUGUCCGGAUUUAUUGUGCGUAAAGCUAGCGCAGGCGGAAGAAUAAGUCUGAUGUGAAAGCCCUCGGCUUAACCGAGGAACUGCAUCGGAAACUGUUUUUCUUUAGUGCAGAAGAGGAUAGUGGAAUUCCAUGUGUAGCGGUGGAAUGCGUAAAUAUAUGGAAGAACACCAGUGGCGAAGGCGACUCUCUGGUCUGCAACUGACGCUGAGGCUCGAAAGCAUGGGUAGCGAACAGG
rnacentral:rRNA from 1 species